rnacentral:rRNA from 1 species
GGAGGGGGCAAGCGUUAUUCGGAUUUACUGGGCGUAAAGCGCACGUAGGCGGCCAAGCAUGUCGACGGUGAAAGCCCUCGGCUCAACCGAGGAAUUGCCUUCGAAACUGCCUGGCUUGAGUCCGGGAGGGGGGAGCGGAAUUCCCAGUGUAGCGGUGAAAUGCGUAGAUACUGGGAGGAACACCGGUGGCGAAGGCGGCUCCCUGGACCGGUACUGACGCUGAGGUGCGAAAGCGUGGGUAGCAAACAGGAUUAGAUACCCUGGUAGUCCACGCCGUAAACGAUGGGCACUAGGUGCAGCGGGUGUCGACCCCCUGCUGUGCCGAAGUUAACGCAUUAAGUGCCCCGCCUGGGGGAGUACGGUCGCAAGGCUG